GACGGGGGAUGCAAGUGUUAUCCGGAAUAAUUGGGCGUAAAGCGUCUGUAGGUGGUUUACCAAGUCUGUUGUUAAAAAUCAGGGCUUAACCCUGAUCCGGCAACAGAAACUAGUAGGCUGGAGUACGGUAGGGGCAGAGGGAAUUCUCGGGUGUAGUGGUGAAAUACGUAGAUAUCGAGAAGAACACCAAUAGCGAAAGCACUCUGCUGGGCCGAAACUGACAUUGAGGAGCGAAAGCGUGGGGAGCGAACAGG
rnacentral:rRNA from 1 species